CACGUAGGAGGCAAGCGUUAUCCGGAUUUACUGGGCGUAAAGCGCGUGCAGGCGGUUCGGUAAGUUGGAUGUGAAAGCUCCUGGCUCAACUGGGAGAGGUCGUUCAAUACUACCGGACUUGAGAGCAGUAGAGGGAGGUGGAAUUCCCGGUGUAGUAGUGAAAUGCGUAGAUAUUGGGAGGAACACCAGUGGCGAAAGCGGCCUCCUGGACUGUUUCUGACGCUCAGACGCGAAAGCUAGGGGAGCAAACGGG
rnacentral:rRNA from 1 species